GUCUAUGGCCAUGCCACCCUGAACAAGCCCGAUCCCAUCUGAUCUUGGAAGCUAAGCAGGGUCGGGCCUGGUUAGUAUUUGGAUGGGAGACCACCUAAAAUGACCAGGUGCUGUAGGCA
rfam:Pteropus alecto contig62617, whole genome shotgun sequence.